UCCACCCGUCUCAGCCUCCCAAAGUGCUGGGAUUACUGGGGUGAGCUACCACGCCCAGCCCAGCUUGCACAUACUUUAGCUCAUUGGUCACCCUCCUCUCCCCAGUGGAAGCCCCAGGAACCUCUCAAGGCCCAGCUUCAGCCUCACCUUCCCUGUGGUCUUCUUCAAGCAGACCCAUACCAAGCUCUCUGUGCUUUGGAAACUGCCAGUGAGGUGAAGUGGGGAGGCAUCGGAGCGACAGCCACGUUGUAUGCCUGCUGCACGAGCCAGACCGCAGGACAAUACUCAAUGAGAGGCACCAACAUCCAUCCUGGCUGAGCUGAUGAUGGUGAGAGGCCACAGAGCCAUGAAAAUGACUUGGAGCAGCCUCCAUGUAUUCCUCAGGGUUGAAUCAUUGUGUGCACCACAGAGCAUUUGCUUUGUAAAAAAGCUAACACUGUGAAAAAUGGGGUAGGCACUUCCUGUUUUGACCAGGAACAAAUGCAAACCAGACCCUGCUCCUCUCACCAGGCAGAGCUUGCUCUUUCAAUUCAGAGAUAUCUUCAAGGACCCAAUUAUGCUGUGGUGCGGAAUGGAGCAUGUAUGUAACUGAGGUUCCUGCCAAAGACAUCAUCUCCUGGCUGAAUGGCAAGACUGGCCAGGACACCAGGAAACUGAGACUGAUUGGACACACAAGAAUGUGAGCUGGGUAAGCAGAAUGAAGGCCCUGGGCAUAACUUGAACACCCGAGGAACUUGAACCCAAGGCUGGCACAAAAGCCAGAAGGUGUUACUCUCCACCAGCUCAGGGAUUGUGAAGAUCUCUGUGCAGACUCCACUCUGCGGUUGGACAGCAUCCCUGAGACAUGCAUUUUGGAGGACAAAUUGUGCCUAUUCCUGAUGACAUCUGGGACGACAAUGGGCGAGAGAGGGGUUCCCACAAGAAAGUGAAACUCAGGCGGCUACAGAAGUUCCUUUCGAGCAACACCUAUUAUCACGUUACUCGGAUUCCAUUUGCUAAUUAAUUUCAGUGAAAGCUGAAAGGAGCCCCGUGGGAAGGUCUUGAUGGCCCUGCAGUGGACACAUUAGGAACAA
rnacentral:lncRNA from 1 species